AGUGAACGCUGGCGGUAGGCCUAACACAUGCAAGUCGAACGGCAGCACAGUAAGAGCUUGCUCUUACGGGUGGCGAGUGGCGGACGGGUGAGGAAUACAUCGGAAUCUACUUUUUCGUGGGGGAUAACGUAGGGAAACUUACGCUAAUACCGCAUACGACCUACGGGUGAAAGCAGGGGAUCUUCGGACCUUGCGCGAUUGAAUGAGCCGAUGUCGGAUUAGCUAGUUGGCGGGGUAAAGGCCCACCAAGGCGACGAUCCGUAGCUGGUCUGAGAGGAUGAUCAGCCACACUGGAACUGAGACACGGUCCAGACUCCUACGGGAGGCAGCAGUGGGGAAUAUUGGACAAUGGGCGCAAGCCUGAUCCAGCCAUACCGCGUGGGUGAAGAAGGCCUUCGGGCUGUAAAACCCUUUUGUUGGGAAAGAAAAGCAGCAGGUUAAUACCCCGCUGUUCUGACGGUACCCAAAGGAUAAGCACCGGCUAACUUCGUG
rnacentral:rRNA from 1 species